GGGGGCAUGGCGAAAUGGUAGACGCUACGGACUUAAAAUCCGUUGGUUAUAAAAACCGUAAGGGUUCAAGUCCCUUUGCCCCCA
rnacentral:tRNA from 1 species